rnacentral:lncRNA from 1 species
CCAGUCAUCCGCUCCGCUCCACCCGCCGGAAGGUUUCAAAGCACUCAGUUCUCGUCUGCUUCCGCCUUCGCCUCCUCCACUUCCAGCUUCUCCUCCCGCUCCUCGACCUUCCUCAACCGCGCCGCUUCCCCCCCGCGCCUCAGCGUCGCCACCGCGGCCCCCUCCGCCCAGUCCGUACGAUUCUCCUUCGACCGCCCGACCUCCCCCAGCCGAUCCAUCUCCGUCUCGCCGCGCGGCACCGGCGGCCACCACCACCACCACCACACCGCCGUCAAGAGCGGCCGGAAUAUCAGUCAGCCGAAGCGCUCCUGUAUGUGUUCCCCAACCACGCACCCCGGCUCCUUCCGGUGCAGCCUCCACAAGAACAACUCCCACGUCACCGCCUCCGCGCCCUACUCGCAGA